AUGAAGACGAUAGCAGUGAUGACCCAGAAAUCAGCCGUCUGUAGAGAAGUGGAGAAACCGCCGAGCAGGACGACGGUCGCCCAGACUAAGGCGAGGGCGCCGAGCCCCGUGGCAAGGAUCUGCAGGAACAUCUCGGAUACCAUGCAGAUGUUAAGCGGCAGCUCCGGCACCUGGUGCAAGGGCGUGUCUCCGCUCGUUGGCCGUUCAAGGUCGAGCCCUCGAGCACCUUGCAGCUGGAGUGCAUCCUUCAAGACCACCACGACUCCAUGCACCAGUUGCACCACCACCCUCGAAGUCAUCUCCAUCCUGCUUGCGGUCUGUUCAACCAAGCAGCUUGGUUCUCCUCUAUCAAGUGUUCCAGUCUUCUAG
rnacentral:rRNA from 1 species